GACGAACGCUGGCGGCGUGCUUAACACAUGCAAGUCGAACGGAAAGGCCCUGCUUGUGUGGGGUGCUCGAGUGGCGAACGGGUGAGUAACACGUGAGUAACCUGGCCUGUACUUGGGGAUAACUUCAGGAAACUGGGGCUAAUACCGGAUAGGAGCUCCUGCUGCAGGGUGGGGGUUGGAAAGUUUCCGCGGUUGGGGAUGGACGCGCGGCUUGUCAGCUUGUUGGUGGGGUAGUGGCUUACCAAGGCUUUGAAGGGUAGCCGGCAUGAGAGGGUGACCGGCCACAUUGGGACUGAGAUACGGCCCAGACUGGUACGGGAGGCAGCAGUGGGGAAUAUUGCACAAUGGGCGGAAGCCUGAUGAAGCAACGCCGCGUGCGGGAUGAAGGCCUUCGGGUUGUAAACCGCUUUAGCCUGUGACGAAGCGUGAGUGACGGUAAUGGGUAAAGAAGCACCGGCUAACUACGUG
rnacentral:rRNA from 1 species